rnacentral:rRNA from 1 species
UACAGAGGCCCCAAGCGUUACUGAGAAUCACUGGGUUUAAAGGGUGCGUAGGCGGGUUAUUAAGUCAGUGGUGAAAGCUCCAUGCCUAACAUGGAAAUUGCCAUUGAUACUGAUGAUCUUGAGUACAUUUGAAGUGGGCGGAAUGUGUCAUGUAGUGGUGAAAUACUUAGAUAUGACACAGAACACCGAUUGCGUAGGCAGCUCACUAAACUGUAACUGACGCUGAGGCACGAAAGCGUGGGGAGCAAACAGG